rnacentral:rRNA from 2 species
GUGGAUUAGUGGCGAACGGGUGAGUAACACGUGGGCAAUCUGCCCUUCACUCUGGGACAAGCCCUGGAAACGGGGUCUAAUACCGGAUAAUACUUUCUCUCUCAUGGGGGAAGGUUAAAAGCUCCGGCGGUGAAGGAUGAGCCCGCGGCCUAUCAGCUAGUUGGUGGGGUAAUGGCCUACCAAGGCGACGACGGGUAGCCGGCCUGAGAGGGCGACCGGCCACACUGGGACUGAGACACGGCCCAGACUCCUACGGGAGGCAGCAGUGGGGAAUAUUGCACAAUGGGCGAAAGCCUGAUGCAGCGACGCCGCGUGAGGGAUGACGGCCUUCGGGUUGUAAACCUCUUUCAGCAGGGAAGAAGCGAAAGUGACGGUACCUGCAGAAGAAGCGCCGGCUAACUACGUGCCAGCAGCCGCGGUAAUACGUAGGGCGCAAGCGUUGUCCGGAAUUAUUGGGCGUAAAGAGCUCGUAGGCGGCUUGUUGCGUCGGUUGUGAAAGCCCGGGGCUUAACCCCGGGUCUGCAGUCGAUACGGGCAGGCUAGAGUGUGGUAGGGGAGAUCGGAAUUCCUGGUGUAGCGGUGAAAUGCGCAGAUAUCAGGAGGAACACCGGUGGCGAAGGCGGAUCUCUGGGCCAUUACUGACGCUNAGGAGCGAAAGCGUGGGGGAGCG